GGGGGGGGGGGGGGGCGGGGGGGGGGGGGGCGGGGCGGGCGGAGGGAGGGGGGGCGUGCUCCUCUGACGUUGGCGGCGGACGGGUGGGUGACACGUGGAUAGCCUACCUAUAGGACUGGGAUAACUUCGGGCAACCGGGGCUAAUACCGGGUAAUAUAUUGCACCGCAUGGUUCAAUAGUGCAAGGCGGGUUUGCUUUCCCUUCUAUGUGUAUCCGCGCCGCAUUAACUAGUUGGUAAGGUAACGGCUUACCAAGGCAACGAAGCGUAGCCGACCUGAGAGGGUGAUCGGCCACACUGGAACUGAGACACGGUCCAGACUCCUACGGGAGGCAGCAGUAGGGAAUCUUCCGCAAUGGGCGAAAGCCUGACGGAGCAACGCCGCGUGAGUGAUGAAGGUCUUCGGAUCGUAAAACUCUGUUAUUAGGGAAGAACAAAUGUGUAAGUAACUAUGCACGUCUUGACGGUACCUAAUCAGAAAGCCACGGCUAACUACGUG
rnacentral:rRNA from 1 species